GCUGCUGUGGGGGUGCAGAGGGGAAAAUAAACAUCUUGAACUCACCCAUCCCUGGGUUCAUGGCUGGGGGGUCUUAGAGCCUGCCUGCUCCAAGGAGAAUGCCAACACUUGUUAGCCCUGCCCUGAUGCCAUGCACCUGCUCAGAGCUGAGCAUGCAAAGCUGAAUUGGUCAGUGCCUCUGCCCUCCAGAAUCACAGAAUCUGGUCAAAGAGUGUCCACAUGCCUGGGGCAGGACGGCGCUCUGCAAAACCAAAUUUACAGAAAGAAAGCUCAGAAGAGUGCACGUGGACAGAACUCCAACUGAUGGCAGAAUGAUUCGAAAGAACGGAGCAGGAAGUGCCUAUAGGCUUCGGAUAUGGAACCUUCUCUGUUCAGGCGUGAUGGAGCACAGUGGAGAAAAACGGAUGCCUGGUGUCCUGCCCUUGGAGCGGCCAAGCCCGCGGUGCCAACACCAGCAGAGCCGGGGGUUUCUAAGCGCAGGCCCGGUGCCUUUCCUGGCCUGGCGGUGCUGCCAGUUUGACUUCUUGCUGCCCUUUGAUCACCCCUGGAUCAAAGCAGAGCGCAGCCGGGCUCCGCCUCCGCCUCCGCUUCCUCUGAGCUUUCCCCGUGGUGCCUGCCAGGUGCCUCUGCCACAGGGGCCUCCCUUCCCAGGCUCUCAGGACGGAGAGGACACCACCCAGGGUCCCUCACACAGGGGGCCCUGACCCUGCGUGCGCCCGUCCCUGAGCCGAGGGCAGCUGGUGACAUCACAGCAGGCCGGGCGGGGGAACUGCACGCAGCUCCCAGAGAGCCUCCUCGGGCUCCUCGUAGCAGGGGCCAGGGCCUCCACCUGCCCCUGGCUCAGGCCCACCCUGUGGGACCCAGAGCCCCGCCUCCACCCACACCUGCACUCCCUGGCCCCCUUCCUCCUUGCUGUUAUUAAAAGCAAAUAGCCCGAUCCCCUUUGAGUUUUCCCACGGUCCCUGUGCCCCCGCAGGAGCGUAACCAGCAGGCAGGGCUCACGGGGCCCCGUCCUCAGAAUUCACCUUCAGCCACGCAGAAUUCCUUGAUGAAGCCCACUUCCCAGUCAGCAAUGACCACCUGUACUUCUGAAGCGACCUGGGCAGAGCAAGGAGCACCCGGGUCUCUCCAGCGGUAAGACAGCCGCUGAGGACAAGGCCUGUGGGGAGCCAAGUUUCCGCAGAGGUCGGCCAUGGUCUUUCAGGCGGGUGUCCUGGGGUCGGGGCCAGCAGCU